CACAAUUUAACAUAAACUGAACAGGACAAGAUAACAGCUGACCACGGCGAUAUCUAUAUUAAGACCGGUUUCUGUAAAACGCCCACAGCGCAGUUCUGUUAUCCUGAUAACAGACAUAAGUCUGUAAAUAUUUGGGAAAUACAGAAUUUCUUCCGUAAAUAUGACAUACGGGUGUUUAAAUUAAAGUGACGUCAUCGGUUUUCCUGGGCGCCAUUACUGCGAAGACCGUUAGUUAGCGGCAAAGAAGAAUCCCUCAACAUUGAGCACAAUAGUUGAACACUACAGUCAAUACCAAAAUGCAGUUUUAGGGAAGUAAUGUUUAUACAAGUAGGCACACAUCUUUGUUUGACACAGAUUGAUUCUUAGCAUUCGUAAAAAUGUACGGUAACUGAUUCAUGAAAUAGUAAUAGUAGACUCUUCUACUUCUAGUAGGCUAGUUCUAGCCUAGACAAAUGGACAUAUACUCACAUACACUGUCACAGUGUUAGUGUUAGCACAGAGUAAAAAUACACUCUGUGGUGUUAGUGCUAGGCCUAAUAUUUUUUCGCAUUGUUUUUGGAGGCUUCAGUUCUAGUUGAGGCUACUCGGAUGACAUAAUAAUAACUCAUUCAAACUCAGAAAAAAAUAUAUGAACUAGUAAGAAGGGCUAACAUUUCAGGGCUUCAUACUCAUAGUCUGUGUGUAGGCUAGGCUACCACUGAAAACCAUUAUUAAGAAUUUAUUGAUGGAAUGUCAAUGCAAUGUCUGGAUACUGAUCUUUAAUUUUUAAUUUUACUAAUUUUUUUUAGGCACAGCUUAUUGCAUCUUUGAGUGCCAUUCCUGUCAUCUAUAUAGUGGGCUACCCAGCCUUUCUCUGGGUUAAUGAAAUUUUUUCAAAGGUGCAUUUUUUAAAUAAACCCAGAUAACCAACAGAAAUCAUGAAAAAGAGGAAGACUUGAGUGUGCCAAAAAGUGAUGUAACUAAUCACAAACUGUCAAACUUUGAAUGGAUGAAGUACAGUUACAACAAUAGCAACACUAUAUACCCGUACUGUGAGACGGUAUACAACGGUAUAGAUGCCACAUUUUGGUUCAAGGUGCUUUAAAUUCUGGACCACGGUUUGGUUAACAUGGUACAGAUAUUUUAACUGUCCGUUUUCAUCCGAUGCAGAAUACUCCCCUGUAGUUCAUGUGACAAAGAGAAAAGAUGGCUUUCGGCAAUGAAACUGAAAGUACAUUCCCCUCCGACGAACCACAAGUUACGGAUAUAGGAACAUUUUGAAUCAAAAACGUCAGAUGGAAAAGCAGUGGCUACAGAGCUGGAAACACGUCCAAGAAGAAAUACUGCGAUAUGUAUCGUUGUAACCUAGGAUGCAAUAAUGUUCAUGCAUGCAAACUUUAGGGAUAGGCCUAUUGAGUUUAUGGUUUGUUUUUAUACACCAGCACAUAGUGUGUAUAAAAUAGGUGAUAAGGGACCGAGCCACAACCCUUUUAUGGGCGAUACUUUGUAAAUGAGACUUUAAACACACUGCAAGAAAUCUUUUUAAUGAAUCUUCUUAAUUAAACUUGAUCUUCUUAUUGUACUUUUGAUAAGAUGUCCGUUUACUUUAAUGGAAAAAUCUUUUGGUCAUUUAAUUUGUCCAUCAACAAUUUGGUACAUUUGUAAAAUUAUCCUCAGUUCAUUUUGUCUCUAAAUAUGCGGCUGUGUUGCAUAAACAUUAAAAAUGUGCAAAUCUCAUCUAUACAUUUCAUUUUGGGACUGGUACAUUGUCAUUAACUUUGUCAGUAGUCGAGUUCCAUCUAAAUUUUUAUCAACAAGACUGAAUCAAUUUAUGCCAUUCUCACUAAGGAAUGUACAUGCUUAGGCAGAGUUAUUGUGCAAAAUUUAAUGAUAUACAUUUUCAAACAGAGAUUAAGCUAAUCAUUGAAACAAGCUGUACAUUUAAGGUGGAAUAAUAGGAAUUCUGCAUUGAUGCUGUUCUUGUUUUAAAGUCAUGAUACUUUUGGGGUUCAAUAAUUGUUAGAUUUUAAAUUGUUCAUUUAAACAUUUAGAAUGCAAAUUCGUUAAUUCGUUAGAAUAACGAUUGUAAUAUCACAAGAUUUGCCAUAUUGUUAUAUUAGGCAUAUAUUUUAAGGAAAAAAUACUCCCGUUCUUGUUUAAGUAGUAUUACACCAUUUAUGGGGUUCAUUACGGUCUAUUUUUAGUAAUUAAGUAAUAGUUAUAUACCUUGUUUUCAAGGUGUAUGGGUUGAUACACUCGUCACUGUCUCUUUUUUGAGUGGGGUUCCGAGGCGAAGCCGAGGAGAUCUCCACUCAAAAAAGAGACGGUGUAUCAACCCAUACACCGAGAAAACAAGGUAUAUAACUGACUUAUACUAAAUACUUUUUCGAGAAAUAGGGAUUUUUUCUAUUUUUCCCAAUUUCAAAAGCUUUUUUCAUUUCACAAAUUUAUCAAAGUUUCUCAUUUAGAGCCCCCCGAUUAUCUCAUCGCAAACGCUUAUUUCUACUCAGGUAAAUGAUGUCAGUAAACCGCACGUGCAUUUCACGGUUUAAAUCCGGUCAGGGAAAAUGUUCAUAACAGGGAUAUUGAUUGGUUGAGAAAAGCAAACGUCAUCCACUCAUUUUGUCCAAUAGCCAUUUCUUGUUGUUUUGCCAACAUCCUGGCUGCGUCGAUUGUAGUGGAUGGCAGAAAUGAAUGCGGGAAUUCGUCGAAGAAUCCUACUUUAUAAUGUCACAGAUAUAUAUUUCUAAGACCGAUAAUAUCAGUUCUGCAAGAGAUUUCAAUGAUCGCGAAGAUUUAGAAGCCCGAUCCUUCACAGAACAAGAAAUUAAAGCCAUGCAGAUGAGUCGAAUUAUGCCAAACAAAAGGAAAAAUACCAAUUGCAUAGGAAUAUGGUGACACUUCGAGACCAGUACAAAAGAUUGGAUUUUAACUUUUUUGAUAAGCAAGGUACAUUUGCUAAUUUCCGCACAUAUCAAUUCAUGAACUUCGCGAGGUAUUGACAUCCACUGACAGACGAGUUGGAAUUGUAAGUUUGUAGUGUAGAAAAUGCCAAUGGAUUAAUUUAUACUACUGUCUGAGUCUUGGUAAAUUUUAAACGGAUUUCUUCGAUUAUGAACAAACUACUUAACUUUGGUUAUUAUAAACUUACCUGUGUGUUUGUAAUGAACUCCCGUUCGAUAAAAUCCAUUGCACAACUAAUUAUCACAACGAUGAAAACAAGUUCUCUCUUGAAAAAUUGAAAUAUCACAAACUUUUCCCAGAGAAAAAUACCAAUAUGGAAGAUGGUUACGUCACUCUGCGGAAGAUAUCAUUUCGUAUUAGGGGUGACAGCAUAGGAAAUUCAAGUACAAUUACGACAAGAAUCCAUGACCACUCGGACCAAAGACCACUCGGUUCAAGACCAGUCGGACCAACUGAUAGACCACUCAGCCCAAACAAAAAUACUACCUGGACCAUACAAAAAGACUAUUCGGACCCAACAGAAAGACGACUCGGACCAAUAAUAAAGUGUUGUUUUAAUAAAUUGAUAAUUGCAUUUGUUUUAAAGGGACAAUAACACUCUUGCUGGCUUGAAAGCUCCAGAAAAUAAAUAAUAUCUCUAUCUAAGUACUAGAUGUUUAAGUGUCCUACCUGUUGUAUAAAUUAUCCAUUACAUCCUAUUUUUACUUGUCCAGAGGGUUCGAAAAUAUUUUUAAAUCGAAGUUUCAUUUGAAAAGGUUUAUGUUAGACGUUUCAAACCAUUAUGUUGAAUAUUUCAAAAUUUUUAAAUAAGGUGUGUUAAGAUGAAAUUUGUAUCAUCAAUUAAUUGAAAUAUUCUAAAAUAGUACAAUUUGUUGACCAGAAUAAAGAUUGGGACAUAUUAUUCAGUUACAACAAGAGUGGUAUUGAGCCUUUAAUAUGAAUACUCGAACCAAUAAUAAAGUGUUAUUUUAAUAAAUUGAUAAUUGUGUUUAUUUUAAUAUGACUACUCGAACCAAUAAUAAAGUGUUAUUUGAAUAAAUUGCUAAUUGUGUGUGUUUUAAUAUGACUACUCGAACUAAUAAUAACGUGUUGUUUGAAUAAAUUGAUAACUGUAUUCCAAAUCGCAAAAUAUCGAGAACCACACUUGUAGUCACGUUUAAAAAGGGACAUAUAAACGUCCGGUCUUCGUAUUAUUAUGUGCUGUUUAUAUUAACGCAUCAAGGGCGGAUAACUUGAAAACGUGUCUCCCCCCCCCCCCAUAUAUAGCAACCCAUGGGUUAGUGGGGUAGAACGGAAUGAAACCACUGGGGAUACCGCGAAUGUGGAAAAAGUAAAAUUAGGCUAUCAGACAAGAACAGUAUACCCGUAUAUGUAGAAACUGUCAAAAGUCUGGACAUACCGAGUCUCAUUGCAAGAGUAAAUAAGAAAAAUUAGAUUGAUUUUUUUUUUGGCACCAUUAUUAAUUAAUUUUAAAACUAAUCGUUGAUUUAUUUUCCGUACACAUAAUUGAACUAAACAACUCUAAAUAUAAGAAUUCCGUAUAAGAAUUAUUUGCUUCUUUGUAUUGUGAUUUAAUAAUAAAUAAAUAGCAUAUUGUCUAGCCUUAUAAUAUAAUUUAAUUUGUCCGACUGGUCUUGUUUUGGUCCGACUGGUCUUAGUCCGAGUAGUCUUUAGUCCGAGUGGUCUGGAUACCUACGACAAUUGGCAUUGAGUUUGAGCGUUCGCACACAUAACUACCCGCAUUCCUGUAUUUAGUUACCGUCUUUUACAUUCUAGUAAAAUCUCUGCAAAUUUUAUAGCUUUACUUUUUGAAAUAUUUUGUUCUAAUUAUUUGAUUAGCGACUCGGAUGGGAUUAUUUACUUUUGAACACGCAUGCCGCACAAACAUAACUAUACAUUCGUUUUACGGGCUUUAUCACACUUCGGUCAAAACUGUCGAAUCGAGAAUUAAUGUUCCGCUUCUUACGGGGUCAUGCGGGGGGCUUAGUAGCAUUAUAUACCAUUAUAUAUGUUACUGAAGCGGUUAUUAUUCGAUCGAAAGAAUGCGUAUAAAAUUAAAAAUACACUCAGAGAAUUCGGAGGUAAGCUUCAUGAUCCUUGUUAAAUUAUUUAUAACAUAAAGAAGUAUAAUAACAGACAGCUUUAUGGAUGACAUUCACUAGGUUUAUUUAUUGCUUGAUAACGGUGAGAGUAACCUCAUUGAAACGUUGCAGUUAAUAAACCUAGUGGUAUCAUUGCUCGAUAACGGUGAGAGUAACCUCAUUCAAACGUUGCAGUUAAUAAACCUAGUGGUAUCAUUGCUCGAUAACGGUGAGAGUAACCUCAUUCAAACGUUGCAGUUAAUAAACCUAGUGAAUGUCAUCCAUAAAGCUAUCUGUUAUUAUAUAUCACUUUCACUAAAUGCCUUUCAAAGACAACAUAAAGAAGAUAGGAUAUUUAUAGUUUAUACAUGACUUUAUUUUUACGAGUAUCCGUGCAAUCAGUGAUAUUUUAAUUGUGAAGAAAAUUUGAUAGACUGGCGAUCAAUGGUUUCCAUAUAAAUCUCCUAUGUAAUUGCCUUCAAUUGAUAUUUUUCGUCGCCCAAACCCAUAUACGAUCAAAAUGAUCGCGCUGUCAAACUAUCUUUCAAUGUUAACCAACCCCCGCAACAGGUAUAUUGGAUUCGACCAAUACGUCACGAAGACAUUGUUGACAUCGACUCUGUCGAAAUUACAAGUAAAUUUUCAAAUUUUUCAAGAGAGAACUUGUUCUCAUCGUUGUGAUAAUUAGUUGUGCAAUGGAUUUUAUCGAACGGGAGUUCAUUACAAACACACAGGUAAGUUUAUA